rnacentral:ncRNA from 1 species
GACGCCGUGAGAUGGAGUCUGAAGGAAGCCAGCGGCAAAGCCUCUGUCUGAGGUACACGAAUCAUAUUUAGGUUCAAUUAUUUAGAAGGAUUUGCCGUGAAAAGUAUAGUACAACAACUAUACGAGACAAAAAGAAAAAAUGUGUCAUAUAGAUAAGAUGAAUAAGUGAUAUUA